rnacentral:rRNA from 1 species
UCUCAGUUCGGAUUGGAGUCUGCAACUCGACUCCAUGAAGCUGGAUUCGCUAGUAAUCGCGCAUCAGCCAUGGCGCGGUGAAUACGUUCCCGGGUCUUGUACACACCGCCCGUCACACCAUGGGAGUCGGAAAUGCCCGAAGUCUGUGACCCAACCAUUAAGGAGGGAGCAGCCGAAGGCAGGUCGGAUGACUGGGGUGAAGUCGUAACAAGGUAAC